rnacentral:rRNA from 1 species
UACGGAGGGUGCAAGCGUUAUCCGGAUUCACUGGGUUUAAGGGUGCGUAGGCGGACAGGUAAGUCAGUGGUGAAAUCUCUGGGCUUAACCCAGAAACUGCCGUUGAUACUAUUUGUCUUGAAUAUCCUGGAGGUAGGCGGAAUAUGUCAUGUAGCGGUGAAAUGCUUAGAUAUGACAUAGAACACCGAUAGCGAAGGCAGCUUGCUACACAAUCAUUGACACUGAGGCACGAAAGCGUGGGGAUCAAACAGG